CAUUUGGCUACACACAAAUAAUAUUUGAAUCUAUAAAUUAGCUGCAGAUUAGUGAAUCUGAUUCAGUAUAAGCUUUAAACUUGACAAGCAAACAGAAAAAUACAAAAAAUAAAUUCACCAUGAAAGUGCUGUUCUUUCUCGCUCUCUGCAUCGCCAUGAUUUUCGCCGUUAUGGGUCAAAGCUGUCCGGCCAAUUUCAAAUGGGAUUCCGGCAAUAAACUCUGCCUGGCUGAACGUCCCAUUCAUGGUGAAUGUCCUGCUGGUUCGCAAUACAACUUGAACUAUAAUAAGUGUGUUUAUGUAGCACGCGGUUGAAUGCAUUUAUUUUUGGUGUCUCUUUUGUUGGAUUAUUUAAUGAAUAAGAAUAAAAAUGUGAAAAAUUAGAA